rnacentral:lncRNA from 1 species
AUGGGGAAACAGAGCAGGCAGAGGUAAAUGAAAUUGUGCAAAGGCACAAGCCAGAAGAGAGAUGAAGCAAAAAGAAAACCUGGACAGGCAGUUGCCCUGGCAUCUGGGAUCUCUCUCUUCUCUCCUCAAACCCCUCAUCCUACCACAGGUGAAGAACUGCUACCGCUUGGGUUUUGGGAAUGGGCAGUUCAGAUAACACAGUAGUGAGAAGACAGGGAAACAGAGAGGGAAACAGUAGGAAACAGAGAAAAUGCAGUCCAAGAAGAGGUAAGAGAGAUAGUAAAUGAAAUGCAAUGCUCAAUAACAUAGGAAGGAUCCAUAGGUUUGGAAAUCAUUAGGAGCAAAACAAACAGGGUAGCCAGAAAGACAAUGUAAGAAAAAGCAGGUGAAAUUUAAAAUGUCCUCGAAAAAGUAAGUUAAGUAACAAGUUAUUGCUUUUGAAGAGCUAUCCUUUAUCAAAACGAAUUGGAAGUCUGCCAAAAAGGCAGUGCCUGAUGAAUGAGCCUAAAUGAUUAUCUGAUAUAAACUAUUUUUAUUUUUUUUUUCAGUGAUAGAGUUGCAUUUGUUUAGUAUUUCAUGUGGAAGAAUCGUCUAUUGUCUUCCAAGCCAGGCAAAGUGAACAGGCUGAGUCAGUCCAGGAAUAUUCAAGCCUCCCCAUCUGUGGUAUUGCAGAAUUCCAGGGCAAUUCCACCAGUUGGUGGAGCUUCUGUCUGGGAAAACAGAGCUAUUGUGAACAAAGCAUACUGUACAUAUUUCUAACAUUCAUAAAAGACUGGGUUUGAAUCAUUUGAAUCUUUCUCAAAAUUUCUUCCUUUGGGGCAAAAAUUUCCAAUGCAUGGCCAUGAUCCAAUUAUAGUAAUUUGGAAAAUCUGAGCAUAAACCAUGCAACCAUGUCAUUAACUAGUUGUGAAAAGAAAAGAUAAAUGUUUGACUGUAAGAGUAUGGCAGCAAGCUGGAUUAUAUUGGGACUUCAUUUACUCAAGACUAGGACUCGGUUUUAGCAGGGCAUGGCCUGCCAAAUACACCACCAAAGACUAAGACAGGCCUUCCCCUCUUCCUCAUCAUGACCUCUCUGUGACAAAGACUCC